rnacentral:lncRNA from 1 species
AUGGAGGAAUGGUCCCUUCUGACUCUGCUUGGUGUUCUUCAUCUCCUCAUGGUGGGCUGCAGCAGUCAAGUUAUGGCUUGCACAGGCGAAGCCUCCUUUGCCAAGCUGAAUACCAAGAUAUUCAUCCUUUCAGCUCUUGAGAUGUGGUUUUGGCUUGCUCCUGAAGGCCAGCACCUCUCAGUAUCUGUGCAAGCAGCGUGCAGUUCGGAGCACCACCCAAGAGCACGGCAGCAAGAUGCUCCCGUGAACCCCAGAAACCAAUGCCCAGGAGAACGGCUUCGGGAAGAAUCAGUGAUGUUGUAGCUGUGUGUUCAGACAUAACAACCAGGAAAAGGUGGCCGUGUGAUAUCAGGAGGGAGAAGGCGUCUCGCUCUGAGGAGGAGGUGUCCCUGCUUCUCUGGACCGGCAGCGCUUCCCGAUGAACCUCGCUUAAUCCUUCCCUGAACGUCUAGUCAGGCCCUAUCGAGCACAUCCAAUUUUUUUCAAAAUUCUCCAGUGAGCAAAAUCUCACCCACUGAAGGAUAAAUAUAUUUCUGAAAGCUCCUAAAGAAGAACACUUUUUUUUUUUUUUGGAGGGGGGUGAUUGUGUGUAUCUAUUUUGCAUCAAUUAAUUUAAGAAAUCUUUUCUGACAAUCUGUCAGAGAAGUCAAUCUGUCUCUAUAGAUAGACACGCAAUGUCUGUGAUGUUCCUACCAGCAAAAGUUGCUUCUGUCAUCCCCAGCUGCUUUUUUUUAUUAUUUUUUCCCAGCGAAUCCACCUCUGCGGGGUUAUCUGUAGCACUUCCAACCACUGAACCAGUUCGGAGCAAUCACCGCUGAAAGAAAACCUUUCAUAAAAAAAUGGCUCAAUUUUCUUCUGAUCAUCUCAGAGAGUUUUAUUGCUGUCAUGUCUGGGACGGGGAGGACAUAGAGAUGUAGCUUUCAAACAUCUCUGGGAGAGAGCAGCCGCAGAAAGAAAUUUCUCCAUUCUCCAAUACAAUAAACAGCAUUUCCUUCUAGAAAAUCCCA